rnacentral:tRNA from 1 species
AGGGGAGUGGCUCAAUGGUAGAGCAACGGUCUCCAAAACCGUCGGUUGCGGGUUCGACUCCUGUCUCCCCUGCCA